AACGUACGCUGGCGGCACGCCUAACACAUGCAAGUCGAACGAAGUAGCAAUACUUAGUGGCAGACGGGUGAGUAACAUGUAGGUAUCUGCCCUUUGGCCUGGAAUAACACGAGGAAACUUGUGCUAAUACCGGAUAAGUCUUUACGGAGAAAGCUUUAUGCACCAUUGGAUGAGCCUGCACUUGAUUAGUUUGUUGGUGGGGUAAUGGCCUACCAAGACUGUGAUCAAUAGCUGAUUUGAGAGGAUGAUCAGCCACAUUGGGACUGAGACACGGCCCAAACUCCUACGGGAGGCAGCAGUGGGGAAUCUUGCACAAUGGAGGAAACUCUGAUGCAGCGAUGCCGCGUGAGUGAAGAAGGCCCUUGGGUUGUAAAGCUCUUUCGUCGGGGAAGAAAAUGACUGUACCCGAAUAAGAAGGUCCGGCUAACUUCGUGCCAGCAGCCGCGGUAAUACGAAGGGACCUAGCGUAGUUCGGAAUUACUGGGCUUAAAGAGUUCGUAGGUGGUUGAAAUAGUUGGUGGUGAAAUCCCAGAGCUUAACUCUGGAACUGCCAUCAAAACUUUUCAGCUAGAGUAUGAUAGAGGAAAGCAGAAUUUCUAGUGUAGAGGUGAAAUUCGUAGAUAUUAGAAAGAAUACCAAUUGCGAAGGCAGCUUUCUGGAUCAUUACUGACACUGAGGAACGAAAGCAUGGGUAGCGAAGAGGAUUAGAUACCCUCGUAGUCCAUGCCGUAAACGAUGUGUGUUAGACGUUGGAAAUUUAUUUUCAGUGUCGCAGGGAAACCGAUAAACACACCGCCCUGGGGAGUACGACCGCAAGGUUAAAACUCAAAUGAAUUGACGGGGACCCGCACAAGUAGUGGAGCAUGUGGUUUAAUUCGAAGAUACGCGCAGAACCUUACCAACACUUGACAUGUUCGUCGCGACUCU
rnacentral:rRNA from 1 species